UACGUAGGGUGCAAGCGUUGUCCGGAAUUAUUGGGCGUAAAGAGCUCGUAGGUGGUCUGUUACGUCGGCUGUGAAAACCCGAGGCUCAACCUCGGGCCUGCAGCCGAUACGGGCAGACUAGAGUUCGGCAGGGGAGACUGGAAUUCCUGGUGUAGCGGUGAAAUGCGCAGAUAUCAGGAGGAACACCGGUGGCGAAGGCGGGUCUCUGGGCCGAUACUGACGCUGAGGAGCGAAAGCGUGGGGAGCGAACAGG
rnacentral:rRNA from 1 species